CUCAUAAAAGUUUUGAGUUAGUGUUGAGAGUGUUUUAGUAUAAAGUACGUCUUGUUGGAGUUGAUGAGGAGCGAAUGAUAAUCACUUGAGCUCUUUAAUCUCUUGUGAGCAGCAAUUUUUACAGUUUGAAGCAAAAAGAAAGAAUAAAAUACAGAAUUUCUACGAAUUCGUCCAAUCCAAAAACCUCGCUGGUCGUUUACUCAAACCGUUUCUUGAUAAAAGACAUCCCUGUUUCAGAAUCUCAUCAGGCCAAGAUUGUAAUCCCCGACUUUGAUCCAUCACAUGUCAUGGCGGCUGAUCCAACCGAUAGCUUAUCAACAUUACUUCCUUGCUUUGUGUCAAGACAUUCCGGCUUUGGUCCCUCUUAUUAUUGAUUUUUGGUGAAGGAAUUACUUGUUAGCCGAUAUUGGUGGUUUUUUUUUUUCCCAUUUGCAACGUUUUUACAAGAAUUUAUAUCCGGUCUCA